ACCUACUGUUUAAUUUUGAGGGUUCGUUUUUACGAAUACUCAAAAUUAGCACUUUAAGCAACGGAAUUUAUUCGUUGGCGCUGUGCGUUAGCACUUUAAGCAACAGAAUAAACUGAACGCAUGUGAAGUUUGUUUGUUGGCGCUGUGCGUUAGCACUUUAAGCAACGGGAUUUAUCCGUUGGCGCUGUGCUUUAGCACUUUGAAAACUGCAUAUAUAUUUAGUGAUAUGACAUCUAAUUUGUAAUAUAUAAAGCUGAUAACUUUUUAAAAUUAUCGAAGUUGAUAGCUCCUAAUCUAUCAAACCUUUUUAACUGGUCAA
rnacentral:misc_RNA from 1 species